rnacentral:rRNA from 1 species
AAAGCCACGCUAACUACGUGCCAGCAGCCGCGGUAAUACGUAGGUGGCAAGCGUUGUCCGGAUUUAUUGCGUAAAGGGAGCGCAGGUGGUUUCUUAAGUCUGAUGUGAAAGCCCACGGCUUAACCGUGAGGGUCAUUGGAAACUGGGAAACUUGAGUACAGAAGAGGAAUGUGGAACUCCAUGUGUGCGGUGGAAUGCGUAGAUAUAUGGAAGAACACCAGUGGCGAAGGCGACAUUCUGGUCUGUACUGACACUGAGGCUCGAAAGCGUGGGGAGCAAACAGGAUUAGAUACCCUGGUAGUCCCGCCGUAAACGAUGAGUGCUAGGUGUUGGAGGGUUUCCGCCCUUCAGUGCCGCAGUUAAGCAUUAAGCACUCCGCCUGGGGAGUACGACCGCAAGGUUGAAACUCAAAGGAAUUGACGGGACCCGCACAAGCGGUGGAGCAUGUGGUUUAAUUCGAAGCAACGCGAAGAACCUUACCAGUCUUGACAUCCUUUGACCACCCUAGAGAUAGGGCUUUCCCUUCGGGGACAAAGUGACGGUGGUGCAUGGUUGUCGUCAGCUCGUGUCGUGAGAUGUUGGGUUAAGUCCCGCAACGACGCAACCCCUAUUAUUAGUUGCCAGCAUUCAGUUGGGCACUCUAAUGAGACUGCCGGUGCAAACCGGAGGAAGGUGGGGAUGACGUCAAAUCAGCAUGCCCCUUAUGACUUGGGCUACCACGUGCUACAAUGGAUGGUACAACGAGUCGCAAACCCGCGAGGGCAAGCAAAUCUCUUAAGCCAUUCUCAGUUCGGAUUGCAGGCUGCAACUCGCCUGCAUGAAGCCGGAAUCGCUAUAAUCGUGGAUCAGCACGCCACGGUGAAUACGUUCCCGGGUCUUGCACUCACCGCCCGU